rfam:Candidatus Rokubacteria bacterium 13_2_20CM_69_15_1 13_2_20cm_scaffold_3115, whole genome shotgun sequence.
CCUCAUCGACGAGCUGCGGGCAGAUGAAGUGGAUGUGCGUGUCGAGCCCGCCUGCGGUGACGAUCCUCCCCUCCCCCGCGAUCACCUCCGUCCCGGCGCCGACGACCAUCCCCGAUGACACGCCGGCCAUAAGAUCGGGAUUGCCGGCCUUGCCGACGCCGACGAUGCGCCCGUCGCGGAUGCCGAUGUCGGCCUUCACGAUGCCCCAGUGGUCUACGACGACCGCGUUGGUGAUGACGACGUCGAGGACGCCCUCGGCCCGGGUCGCGCGCGCCGACUGCCCCAUGCCGUCGCGG